GACGAACGCUGGCGGCGUGCUUAACACAUGCAAGUCGAACGGAAAGGCCCUGCUUUUGUGGGGUGCUCGAGUGGCGAACGGGUGAGUAACACGUGAGUAACCUGCCCUUGACUUUGGGAUAACUUCAGGAAACUGGGGCUAAUACCGGAUAGGAGCUCCUGCUGCAUGGUGGGGGUUGGAAAGUUUCGGCGGUUGGGGAUGGACUCGCGGCUUAUCAGCUUGUUGGUGGGGUAGUGGCUUACCAAGGCUUUGACGGGUAGCCGGCCUGAGAGGGUGACCGGCGACCUUGGGACUACGAUACGGCCCAGACGCCUACGGGAGGCAGCGGUGGGGAAUAUUGCACAAUGGGCGGAAGCCUGAGGCAGCAACGCCGCGUGCGGGAUGACGGCCUUCGGGUUGUAAACCGCUUUCGCCUGUGACGAAGCGUGAGUGACGGUAAUGGGUAAAGAAGCACCGGCUAACUACGUG
rnacentral:rRNA from 1 species